rnacentral:rRNA from 1 species
GACGAACGCUGGCGGCGUGCUUAACACAUGCAAGUCGAACGGAAAGGCCCCUUUGGGGGUACUCGAGUGGCGAACGGGUGAGUAACACGUGAGUAACCUGCCCUUGACUUCGGGAUAACUUCAGGAAACUGGGGCUGAUACCGGAUAGGAAUCCUUGCUGCAUGGUGGGGGUUGGAAAGCUUCGGCGGUUUUGGAUGGACUCGCGGCUUAUCAGCUUGUUGGUGGGGUAGUUGCUUACCAAGGCUUUGACGGGUAGCCGGCCUGAGAGGGCGACCGGCGACAUUGGGACUGAGAGACGGCGCAGACUCCAACGGGAGGCAGCAGUGGGAAAUAUUGCACAAUGGGAGCAAGCCUGAUGCAGAAGCGCCGCGUGCGGGAUGACGGCCUUCGGGUUGUAAACCGCUUUCAGCAGGGGCGAUGCUUGUGGUGACGGUACCUGCAGAAGAAGCACCGGCUAACUACGUG